GGUUAAGAAACCGAAUUUUCCGGUCGAUUUAAAGAGCCUGCCGUCUCCUUGUUUCACCCUGUAGAUUAAACCAGCAGUCGAGCGGGAAGGCACGUGAAAAUUAUGUUUCAUGCUCUGAAGAACGUGCUCUUGCAGGGCAUCCUCCUUCCCCACAAGAUGGACCCCAUGAAACAGAUGCUGUAAAACUAUUGCUGCUCGCGAGCCACAAUUUCACUAAUUAGAAAAGAUUUAGAACUUAGUUUAACCGUACACAAAUAAUCCAACCUUUAAAGGCCUGGAUUUGGACCCCUGGAAUAGCCUGCACCAACAUAAUUUGAUCCUCUCUGGUGGUGGUGCAUAGCCUUUACAGUACUAAUUCUACAACCAAAAAACAAGCGUUACCAGCGGGCGGAAACGAGUCGGCGCAGCUUCCAGUGCAUUAACGGCACGCUUUCACCACCAGCAAGAAGAGCAGCUUUGACGUCACGUGCAAGCCAUGAUGGUCCCAGCCGGAUUUAAAAAAUAUAAAGGCCGCACAAUAAAAACGUUUUACAGUAUUUGACAAAAAUUAAGAAAGCUUGAACAUGAGAAAGAACGGCACGCACAGUAUGAGUUUAGGUUAUAGGGACAUUAUAUGUUCGAUCGAGUAGCACCACACGUCAAUUUCGCGCUUUCUUAAAUUUUUUGUCCGUAUUCCAAAGAUUUCAAUCUAAGGCGCCCAAGACGUCUUCGAUUUCCAAGACGUCGUCGUCGUCGUUCUUGACAUCGUCAAGGCUUUUGAGGUCUUGGGCCGUGUGGGGUCUUACAUGAUAGAAUUUUCUUUCAGAUUUUCGUUGCAAGUUUUCCCAUACAAGUGCAAGUUUUCCCCUAUUUGUGUCCAAAAAGCAAGUUGCAAGUUUUGCCAUAUUUGUGUUCAAAAAGCGACGAAGCUCGCCCCGGGGCGUUCGCACGCGCACAUCGAGCGCCGUCGGGCGAGCUUCAUCGCCUAUUCGUCAGAUAUUCGCUCACAAAGCCCAGCCCAGAAGCACUGCAGCAAAGCAUAGGAGCCGGAGGUUGGAAGCAGUGGCUCGAUACAGAGAAAGACGAUAGCGAACGCACACGGUAUUUAACAACGAAAGACCAUGCAUGAAGUAACGCUUGAAAUGAACAAACUCACAUCUCCACGAUUGUGAGACUGCGCAGCUGACUUCUGCUCCAAAGGUCGCGGGGCGCCUUCAGCAAGAAUCUGACAACAAAAAGAUUUCGUCAAUAAAAUCUUACGGUUCACCGACUAUAAAAGCCUACCUUUUCGGUCUGAUGCCACCGAGCACGCGUCGACCGCGGCACGCUCUCUUCGGAUAAAGGUGCCAGGUAACGUCGGUAUUGCUUCGGCCGCUGCUUACUGGCCAUAAUGCCGUUUCAUAUGCAGAAGUUUCGGCAGAAUCGGCGUAGCGCUUGUUUGACGAGCAAUAAUGGCGAAGAAUGACGCGGGAAGAGCGGGAAGCGGGAUUAGUAGCGGUACAGUGGCUGUAGUAGCGGGAUUGGCGGGAUGGCUACCCGGGGACCUGGGUACUUCGAAAACGUGAAACGCACGCCAUCGCGCCAUAAACCGCAUUGUAAACAAAACCAUCUUUACAGUCUAUAGUGCUAAUAACAACGUCCUGAACUAAAUAUAAUUCUAAGUUGUAAAAUGAAACUUAAUUUUUUUUUAUUAGAGUUAUCCUUCUCUUCUGUAUUUGCCAUGGGUGUUAGGUGGCCGUCUCGCCAUAUGGCCAGCCGGAGUCGGCGCGCGGUUUCAGUUGGGCCGGUUGAGCCAGUUGAGCUGCUAGUUUUGGUUGCAUCACCUGCUGCGUAUGAGCUUUCAGUUGCUGAAAAGACCGCAGGACAUCUAUUCCUACAGGAAGAAAGGAGAUGAAUUUCGCAUAUGUGCAAUAUUUUACUGGAACAGCACGACCUAAGACUAUCAUCAGUACAUCUGCAAUUAAAAACUUUGAACCGAGAAGUGAGGAUGACUACAAGAAGGGUCACCUCUAUGAUGCUUUGUUGACUCCAGACGGAGGGGAGCCGGGCUGUUUUAAAGCCCAAAUACUACUUUUGGCAGACUCAAAGUCGUCGAUCGAGGAGAGGAUCAAAAGGGGCAAGAGGAUCCCUCUACCUAAAGUCCUUGACCAGGUUGUUGAGCACAGCAGUUCGGAAGACGACCAAGCAGCUCUUCGGGUCGAAAUG